rnacentral:rRNA from 1 species
GAACGAGAAUCUUUUGGUUCAAUCUUUCGGGAGAGAACCUUUAGAGGAGAGUGGCGGAAGGGUGAGUAACGCGUGGGUAAUCUACCGCUAAGUUGGGGAUAACUUGGUGAAAACCGGGCUAAUACCGAAUGUGGUCAUUUGUCGCAUGGCGUAAUGAUUAAAGGUGGGGACCCCGAUUCGUCGGGGCCUGUCGCUUGACGAGGAACCCGCGUCCUAUCAGCUUGUUGGUGAGGUAACGGCUCACCGAGGCUUACGGGUAGCUGGUCUGAGAGGAUGAUCAGUCACACUGGGACUGAGACACUGCCCAGACUCCUACGGGAGGCUGCAGUCGAGGAUCA